UAUUAAUUUUAUCUUAGUAACAUCAGCUCUCACUCCCCGCUCUGCCUUGUCCUAUUCCACCCCUACAAUAGCCUCCUAAAUUAGGUAUUUAUCCCAUUUUACAGGUAAGGAAAUUGGCGCUUAAAGCCGUAGAGUACUUUCUGCAACAUAGGGACACAAGUGAUUGGUGCAGUUACGCUUCCAACCCUGAAGAUUCCCUCAAAAGCCCAGACUCCUUGAAACCAUGCAACAGUCCCCUCUUAGCCGUUUUGCUUUCGACGAGUUAAGUGACCCAUAGCCAACCAAGGUCUGGAAGCGGACGUCCCCCCUCUGGGCAUCCGUGUAAGGGCAGAAGUAGCCUAGCACGGUGCCUCCAGCCGUUCACCUGCCUUCAUCUCAUCAGGAGGCAUUUUAUCAUCUCGCAUCAUCACGAGAAGGUACUGAUGAACAUCACGGCUAUUUCCAGCUUUGGACCAUUAUUAAUAACACCGCAGUAUGGUCUUAGCUGUACGCCCGAAGUUCAAUAAAUUGUAUUUUCAUUUGUAUCCCAUUCAAAAUAUUUUAAAUUUACCAAUGUGAUAGAGAUUUUUCUGUCUUUUUGUUUUAUUAUUUUUCAAAUAUAUAGGUUAAUUACCUUGUCACAGAAUGUACUCUGUAGGAUUUCAGUGCUUUGAAAUUUGUUGAAACUUCCUUUAUGGCCUAGCAUAUGGUCAAAUAUUUAUAAUGGUAUGUGUGCACUUGGAAAGAAGGUGUUUUAUGCAGGUUUUAUUGUUAAGUCAACUAGGUCAAAUAUGUCAACCAUGUUUAGAUUUUCUAUAUUCAUACUAAUUUUUUGUUUGUUCUAUCAUUUUCUGAGAGAUGUAUGAAAAUCUCCCACUGUAAUUAUGGAUUUUUCUAAUUAUUUUUGCUCUAUAUAUUCUCUUUUGCUUUAUAUGUUGUAAGGAUGAAUUUUUACAGGUUAACUUUAGUAUGUUAUUUUAUAAAUUAGUAGGUCUUCUUGGUAAAUUGAAGCAUUUAACAUUUGACGUGUCCUCCUUUAUCUCUAGUAACUCUUCUGCUUUCAGGUCUUUGUCUGAUAUCAAUACAGUUUGGCUCAUGCUUUAUGGUACAUCUUUUUUCUGUCCUGUCAGUGUCAAUAUUGCUUUACCUCCAUGUUUUAGAGGUGUCUUUUGUAAGUGACAUAUGAUUAAGCAUUUUGCUCAUUGGUUUUUAUCCAAUCAGAUGACCAUAGCUUAUAAUUGAUGCAUUUAAACCUUUGGGGUUAAACCUCUGUCCUAUUAGUGCUAUCUUUUUGUCUAAUCAUUUCUGUAUUCCUUUUCCCCUUCUUUCUUACUUUUUUUGGAUUAUUUUGUAUUACUCCAUAUUUCCCCUCUGUUUAUCCAUUGUCCCAUCGGACCCACUUUCCAUCCUUCUCCACCUUGCUGUGGGCCCCGGGAAGGUCAACUUUAUGGGCGAUAUCAGAGUGUUUCUUGCCCUCUAACUUCUGGUUGGUUUUGUUCAGUGGAAGUUAACCAUCAGGAGAUGAAACAGUAAGAAGAACAUGACAUUAGGAUAGUUAAUUUCUUUCCCCUCUCUAAGAGGUUGCAUGGUUCCUCGCCUGAAGUGCAAUCUACUGCGUGUGCAGGUCUGGCCUGACCCUCUUUAUAUAACCCUGUGGGAAUUUCAGGCCUGGAGAACUGCACAGGUGCUCUGCCAGUAAUAUUGUUAUGAGUGACAACCUGUCCUUUGUCUCUGACCCAGGAGUCUUGUGUCUUCUGCCAGCAUCCUUGAAACCACAGCAAGAUAAUUUGUCAGCUUGUAAACCAAGUAAAAUCUCAGACAAAUCACAGUUCUUGGCACAGUGGAGUUCAGCACCAUCUCCUUUUGUUGUAAUUAUUUUACUUGCUCACAUCUUUAUAAAGAACUCCUCUAUUAAACUCUCUUGAAAGUACCCAGCUUGAGUGUGCCAUCUGUUUCCUGCUUUAUUAACUUGGAAGUAAUGCACAUUUUUACUAUCCUUUUAGUGAUUAUAUCAGAAAUUACAACAUAUAUCCUUGACUCACCAAAUAUAUUUAAUUUUACCAUCUUUCUAGACAUGCAAGGAUCUUAGAACAUUUUAUCUCCAUUUAACUUCCUCUUCACUUCUAUUCUGCUGUUUUGUAUAUGAAUCUCUGUCUGUGUUCAUGUAUAUUAUAUCUCCAUAAGGUAUCAUUAAUAUUGUUUCACACAGUAAUACUCUUUUGUUUUACUCACAUAUUUACUUUCUUUAUUGGUCUUCAUUCUUUCUGAAGCCAUCAAACUUUACAAUU